rnacentral:miRNA from 1 species
UUUGUUUGUGUGUGUGUGUGUGUGUGUGCACGCGCACACGCGCGCACACACUAUA